UGAUCCUGGCUCAGGAUGAACGCUAGCGGCAGGCUUAACACAUGCAAGUCGAGGGGUAGAAGUCUUCGGACUUUGAGACCGGCGCACGGGUGCGUAACGCGUAUGCAAUCUACCUUUUACAGAGGGAUAGCCCAGAGAAAUUUGGAUUAAUACCUCAUAGUAUAAUGACUCGGCAUCGAGAUAUUAUUAAAGUCACAACGGUAAAAGAUGAGCAUGCGUCCCAUUAGCUAGUUGGUAAGGUAACGGCUUACCAAGGCUACGAUGGGUAGGGGUCCUGAGAGGGAGAUCCCCCACACUGGUACUGAGACACGGACCAGACUCCUACGGGAGGCAGCAGUGAGGAAUAUUGGACAAUGGGCGCAAGCCUGAUCCAGCCAUGCCGCGUGCAGGAUGACGGUCCUAUGGAUUGUAAACUGCUUUUAUACGAGAAGAAACACUACUACGUGAAGUA
rnacentral:rRNA from 1 species